rnacentral:lncRNA from 1 species
GAACAUUUAUCCAGAAGAAAGGCAGCUUGGAGUAUCAUCAUGAACAUUCUUGAUAAUCAUGGCGUUAUAUGACAAAAAUUUAUUCCAAAAUAAGCAAAGCAAAAAACACAGAAGGAAGCAGCACACAAAGAUGCAGAUCUUAAAACCAUACACAUCCACGGGGGUACGUUAAAUUCCAGUCACAUCACUUCACUCGCACAGAGCAAGUUGAUAAUUAUUCACGACUCAUUUACUAGCAAAAAUUGGCGACAAGCCUAUCUCAAAGUUUCCUUGGGACAUAUAACGUUCCAGCGUUAGACCAAGAUGAGAUCCCAAACAAAGGGCACGCAGCAAGCUGAUAGGUGAAACCGAAUCAACCUAC